rnacentral:rRNA from 1 species
GUUAUGGACCCACCUGAUCCCAUGCCGAACUCAGUAGUGAAACGUAAUAGCGCCGAUGGUAGUGUGGGGUCUCCCCAUGUGAGAGUAGGACAUCGCCAGGC